UACAGAGGUCUCAAGCGUUGUUCGGAUUCAUUGGGCGUAAAGGGCAGGUAGGUGGUCUUGUAAGUCUACUGUGAAAUCCCUGGGCUUAACCCAGGAAGUGCGGUGGAUACUGCAAGACUAGAGUGCUGGAGGGGUGCGUGGAAUUCCCGGUGUAGCGGUGAAAUGCGUAGAUAUCAGGAGGAACACCGAUGGCGAAGGCAGGUCACUGGGCCGCAACUGACGCUGAGGAGCGAAAGCAUGGGGAGCGAACAGG
rnacentral:rRNA from 1 species